rnacentral:lncRNA from 1 species
UGACUUAUUAACAUCCCUCGCUCUGGGUGACCCACCUGGAGAGAAGCCAAUAAGAAAGAAUGACUUAUUUUCACCUCUAACUCUUCGUUCCGAGUCGGCAAGAGCAAUCAGAGUUUAAGAAAGCAUUUCCAUAGGAUAGGAGGAUUGGUUAGCUCAUUAGACCUUUUGAUUCUUUUAUUAUCUUUCUAGUGACUUUGAAAGAAGGGAUUUUGUCUAGCUUAGAGUAAGCCGGGAACCAAAAAAGAAUUUGAAUCCGGAACGAGAAAGGACGAAUGCUACCUCUGCUACUG